rnacentral:ncRNA from 2 species
AUGCUCUGUCGCAGGAGAGAGGUUUUCCACACCCGCCGAAGGCGCAAACUCCCAUAAACGCUCAGGCUCAUGUACUGCACAUCGCAA